CAGCCGCCACGGUAAUACGUAGGGUGCAAGCGUUAAUCGGAAUUACUGGGCGUAAAGCGUGCGCAGGCGGUUCGUUAAGUCUGUUGUGAAAGCCCCGGGCUCAACCUGGGAAUGGCAAUGGAUACUGGCGAGCUAGAGUGUGUCAGAGGAUGGUGGAAGUCCCGGUGUAGCGGUGAAAUGCGUAGAGAUCGGGAGGAACAUCAGUGGCGAAGGCGGCCAUCUGGGACAACACUGACGCUGAGGCACGAAAGCGUGGGGAGCAAACAGGAUUAGAUACCCCAGUAGUCCCUGUCUCUUAUAC
rnacentral:rRNA from 1 species